rnacentral:rRNA from 1 species
GAUGAACGCUGGCGGCGUGCCUAAUACAUGCCAGUCGAGCGAACAGAUGAGGAGCUUGCUCCUUUGACGUUAGCGGCGGACGGGUGAGUAACACGUGGGUAACCUACCUAUAAGACUGGGAUAACUUCGGGAAACCGGGGCUAAUACCGGAUAAUAUCUUGCAUCGCAUGGUGCAAGGGUGAAAGACGGUGUUGCUGUCACUUGUCGAUGGGUCCGGGGCGCAUUUGCUAGUUGGGAAGGUAACGGCCUACCAAGGGAAAGAUGAGUAGCCGACCUGGGAGGGUGAUCGGCCAACCUGGACCUGAGACACGGUCCAGACUCCUCCGGGAGGCAGCAGUGGGGAAUCUCCGGCAUUGGGCGAAAUCCUGACGGAGCAACGCCGCGUGGGUGAUGAAGGUCUUCGGAUCUUAAAACCCUUUUAUUAGGGAAGAAAAGAUGUGUAAGAACAUAGCGACGUCUUGACGGUACCUAAUCAGAAAGCCACGGCUAACUACGUG